AAGAGAGAUUUAGAGAAAAAAGGGAGAUAUCUAGAGAGAGAGUGUGAGGAAGUGAAUUCUGGAAAUCCGAGGAUUGUACUUUGUUUAGAAUCGACUAAUCGUCGAGUGAGUACCCUUCGGAAAAGCUAAAGAUGUCCAAGACUAUAACAUACCGGAUUUUAAAUAUAAAAAGAGAAAAAUAAAUAAAAAUAGUAUGAGAUACUAUUUUAUUGGAUUUAGAGAAGUGAAAUAUCAGUUGGGAACGACUUGUGUUGAAAUCGGAGCGAAAACAGAAGAUUUAGAAUUUUCUGUUGGAAACGGGACUGAUAAAUUAGCAGAAAAUGCACAGUCUCAGAAAAUUAUGAAAAUU
rnacentral:lncRNA from 1 species